GAACGGGAAGAUCCACGUGGGCUACAAGGAUCUGAUGGAGAACUACCAGAUCGUCGUCAGCAACCUGGCCACUGAGCGUGGCCAGAAGGACACCAACCUGGUCCUCAACCUCUUCCAGUCACUGCUAGAUGAGUUCACCCGUGGCUACACCAAGAACGACUUCGAGCCAGUGAAGCAGAGCAAAGCUCAGAAGAAGAAGCGGAAGCAGGAGCGCGCUGUGAGUAGGCUGCACGUAGAUGAGAGUCCGAGCAGGCGAACAUUGGCAGGAGCAUGCACGUGUGUGUCAGUGUCAAUGUGCGCAUGGGCCCGUCUGCACGCGUAUGUGUGCAUGGACACGUGUGAGUGUGUUUUUCCCCCAGCAUAUACGGAGCCGUAGUCUUGAAUAAGCAGACCCACCGCUGAGAUCCCGUGGGCCGUCAUCCACCAGUGGCUGGGGAGGGCUGCCUUCCCCUUUCCCCACCCAGCGCCCUCCUCUGGCCUCACAGGUCCAGGAGCACAACGGGCACGUGUUCGCCAGCUACCAGGUUAGCAUCCCACAGUCGUGUGAGCAGUGCCUCUCCUAUAUCUGGCUCAUGGACAAGGCCCUGCUCUGCAGCGUGUGCAAGAUGACCUGCCACAAGAAGUGCGUGCACAAGAUUCAGAGCCACUGCUCCUACAUCUACGGGAGGAAGGGCGAGCCAGGCGCUGAGCCAGGCCACUUCGGCGUGUGCGUGGACAGCCUGACCAGCGACAAGGCCUCAGUGCCCAUCGUGCUGGAGAAGCUCCUGGAACACGUGGAGAUGCACGGCCUGUACACCGAGGGCCUCUACCGCAAGUCGGGCGCUGCCAACCGCACUCGGGAGCUCCGGCAGGCGCUGCAGACAGACCCCACAGCAGUCAAGCUGGAGAACUUCCCCAUCCACGCCAUCACAGGGGUGCUGAAGCAGUGGCUGCGGGAGCUGCCCGAGCCCCUCAUGACCUUCGCACAGUAUGGUGA
rnacentral:sRNA from 1 species